UACGUAGGGGGCGAGCGUUGUCCGGGGUUACUGGGCGUAAAGCGCACGCAGGCGGUCUGCUAAGUUUGGAGUGACAGUUGGUGGCUUAACUGCCAAAGUGCUUCGAAAACUGACAGACUUGAGGGCUUCAGAGGGACACGGAAUUCCGGGUGGAGUGGUGAAAUGCGUAGAGAUCCGGAGGAACACCAAAGGCGAAGGCAGUGUCCUGGGGAGUACCUGACGCUCAGGUGCGAAAGCCAGGGGAGCGAACGGG
rnacentral:rRNA from 1 species